CCUACGGGUGGCUGCAGUGAGGAAUCUUGCACAAUGGGCGAAAGCCUGAUGCAGCGACGCCGCGUGGAGGAUGAAGGUCUUCGGAUUGUAAACUUCUGUUAAGAGGGGUGAAAUAAGCGGCUUUAAUAGAGUCGCGAGAUGACAGUACCUCUAGAGAAAGCACCGGCUAACUACGUGCCAGCAGCCGCGGUAAUACGUAGGGUGCGAGCGUUAUUCGGAGUAAUUGGGCGUAAAGGGUGCGUAGGCGGCGAAUUAAGUCAGUUGUUCAAUCUUCCAGCCUAACUGGAAGCCCACAACAGAU
rnacentral:rRNA from 1 species